rnacentral:rRNA from 1 species
AACGAACGCUGGCGGCAUGCCUAACACAUGCAAGUCGAACGAAGGCUUCGGCCUUAGUGGCGCACGGGCGCGUAACGCGUGGGAAUCUGCCCUUAGGUUCGGAAUAACAGUUAGAAAUGACUGCUAAUACCGGAUGAUGACGUAAGUCCAAAGAUUUAUCGCCUGAGGAUGAGCCCGCGUAGGAUUAGCUAGUUGGUGUGGUAAAGGCGCACCAAGGCGACGAUCCUUAGCUGGUCUGAGAGGAUGAUCAGCCACACUGGGACUGAGACACGGCCCAGACUCCUACGGGAGGCAGCAGUGGGGAAUAUUGGACAAUGGGCGCAGGCCUGAUCCAGCAAUGCCGCGUGAGUGAUGAAGGCCUUAGGGUUGUAAAGCUCUUUUACCCGUGAUGAUAAUGACAGUAGCGGGAGAAUAAGCCCCGGCUAACUCCGUG